AACGGAAGGGGGUGUGAAUCCCCCGUGAUCGCGUCACUGUGAUCGGAAAUGCGGCUGCAUAGGCCACUGGGUAACCGGGAAGGCGCAGCCGAUGAUAUCCGUCAGCCAGGAGACGU
rnacentral:ncRNA from 2 species